UAAGUUUUAGUGGGAAAAUAAUUUCGUAUCCAGAUGUCGGCACCGUACCGUUGUCAUCGCGGAUACACUUCAUUUCGUUUCCAUCGUGAAGUGUAUUUGAGAAUCAGGCCCUAUGUCUUCACUACAUACUUUGUAGAAACCAGCAUGCUUAUCGGUGCUCUGAGAAGGCUCAGUCUGGCAUCCAAAUCACAUCGAUGAAAUCAGUGAUGCCAUUUUGAAUAACUGUUUCAAUAAACCUAGCACAAACUAGCUUUCCAAACCAACUCAAUAGAGUCGAAUGUGAUUGCAAUUUUUUUUGAAAUCUGCAAAAAUCUGGACAAAGUGCGGAAAGUCUGGACUAGACAAAGGAUGGUCUGGAUAUAUGGUUGCUUUAACAAAGAAGAUUCCAGACAAAUAAUUAUUAUAUUAAGAACAAAAUUUAAAAAAAAAUCAGUGUUAUGAGAUGAACCUGGCCUUUCUUUCUACUUUUACUUUCGAAUGAAAUUGAUAAAUGAGUGUAUUCAAGCUCCAACAAAUGCAAGCAAAUGCCAAAUGCACUUGCCAAAUUUACCAUCUUAUACGAACUUAUGCGCGCUCAUCUAUUUGUUGCGUUUUUGAAAAGUACAACGAUAAUACUAUCUACUAGAGAUCAGUAUGGAUCAACUUGUGUUAAUCAAUGGGGGUCUAUUUUUAGAUCUUGUCGACCCCCAAAAUCAAUUUUCGUUCGUGUCGACCCCUGAGAAACCAAUAUCGACCCCAAGGGGUCGAUAUCGACCACUUUGAGAACCCCUGGUUUACAGCGUCAGUAAGAACAAGUUAACUUUGUCAACUAUGUCGAAAACACUGAUGAAUGAAUGGUAUAAGGUAUUCAAAGACCGAGAAGCUAUUUUGCAGGAUAGAAUAUAAAUUUAGAUGAUAAAUGAAGCAUUUUCUCUAUAAUUUAUUACAAUAAUCAACAGGCAGAAUCUAUGCCCUAAUGAUAUUUAAAUGGGUUAAUAUUCUCUUAAAAUUACGUUUAAUAGCUACCCUACAUAAAUUGAAAUCAAAGCCCUCUGCAACUCUGUUGAACAUUCUGAGCAGACCGGAUAUACUACCGUAGGUCACGUAAUUUGUUCGCCGGACCGGUAUACGCAGCAAAUUUUGGUUCCGCAGACUUCUUGGAGGCACCUGUAGUUGGAAUGGACGGAGCAACGCCGGACACUCUGUUUUCGACGUCAGGACAUCAGACACUAGCAUCGCACGGGCGACAUUGCGGCGAACAGCUAAGGUGUCUAAAUUGAUUAGAAGGCAUCUACUAUCAUAGCUGGGUAGCCGAAAAGGAUCCCUCCACGGCAAGCGUCGAAGAGAAAAGCGCACAAACCUGCGCUGUACAGCUUCAAUUCUGUCGACACCAUUUUGGUAGUAAGGACUCCAAACUUGACAGCCGUACUCAAGAGUCGAUCGUACCAGCGAGCAGUACAAAGACUUCAAGGAAUAUAUGUCAUUGAAAUCUUUACCGAUUCGAAACAAAAACCCAAGACUUCUGGAAGCUAUGCCCACAAUAUAUGAAAUGUGCUGCUGGAAUGAUAGUUUGCUGUCUAGAAGUACCCCUAGAUCUUUGAUACAGUUGGUUCUCUCGAUGGAAGUAUCCAAGAGUUUAUAAUCGUACAAGAUCGGUUCCUUUUUUCUUGAAUAGGUGAUAAUAGCACAUUUACUUGGGUUCACCUUCAUGCAAUUAGCAAUACACCAUUCGGCAAAACUAUCCAGCUGUUGCUGAAGUAGGCAGGCAUCGGCAGUCGAGUUGAUUAUAAAAUAAAUUUUCAUAUCGUCGGCGAAUGACAAGCGCGGAAGGCCAAACCCCAAAUUCUCCAUUUUAGAAAUCGCAAUUUCGUGAUUAAUGCUGUCAAACGCUGCUGUCAGGUCGAAAUAUAUCGCAUCUGUUUGUUUGGCGCUAUUGAAACCUUCCGUUAUAUAAGCCGUGAAAGUCAACAGAUUGGUUACAGUAGAUCUCUUAGGCAUAAAUCCAUGUUGGUCUUCUACAAUGUAAUGCUGGCAGAAACUAAAGAUCGGUUCCAAGACAACAAGCUCAAGCAGUUUGGCGACCGAGCUUAGUGCGGAAAUUCCUCGGUAGUUAUCGAUUUGAGUCUUGGCACCCUUUUUAUGUACAGGAAUCAAAAACGCCGACUUCCAGGAAGUUGGAAAUUUUCCACUAAUCAACGAUAAGCGGAAAAUGCGACAAAGAGGAAUCAUCAGAUUAGCUGCGCAUUUCUUCAAUAUAAUAGACGGAAUACCAUCAGGACCAACUGAGCAAGACGCCUUGAGUUUGUUCAUAGCAGAUUGUACCAUUGGCUCGUCAACCUCGAUAUGGGAGCAAGACUGGCCGAGAAAAGGUACGUUUCCAGCAGCAGAUUCAAUUUGCUCGGGUGUUAUCGACUCAUCCGAAAACACGCUUCCAAAUUUAUCAGCAAAUAGGUCACAUAUCGUUUGUGUGUCAGAACUCCAGCGCCCAUUGUACUCCAUUGUAGAAGGUAGACCGGACUCAUUCCUUUGCUCGUUUACGAACUUCCAAAAAGACUUAGGAUUUGAUUUCAGUUUCAGCUGCAUGUUAGUUAUGUAACUACGAUAACACGAUUGAGUAGCUCGCUUGUAUGCAUUGUUUAGUCGCACAUAAUAAUUAAAAAAUAAUAAAAUAAUAAAAUAAAGUGGCACGGUUCGGUACUUGGCAAAUCGACGUAAUGCCGCUCUCUUUGCUGUUUUCAUUUGACUUAGUUCCCUAGUCUGCCAUGGAGUAUGCGAAUGCUCUAAAGUAGUUCGCUUCGGUACAUGCCUGUCAAUAGCAUAGUUCACGAUAAUGGAGAACAUUUGAACUGCAUUGUCUACAUCGUCACAAUCUAAAACAUCUUCCCAGUCGAUAGUAGACAGGACGUUAGAAAUGGCGUUAUAGUCAGCUUCUUUGAAGUCAUAGUACACUGCAGUUGCGGUUUUGCGGAAUUGAUUUGAAGCACGGUUUUCCAAAACAAGGUGCAGAGCGGGGUGGUGAGGAACGGUUGUAACUAGCGGAGCAGCCGCUGCUGAAAUAACUGCAGGUAAAUUGAAAUCCCCGAUUAUCGCAAUUUCAUCCAUCGGUUUGAGUCUAGAACGCACUGUUGCUAUCGAAUCCGUGUGGACGGUCAUCAAAGCUACAUCACGGACGCGGUCUGGUGGUACAUAAACGGCGCACAGAAAUAGCGAGUGAUCAAACAUCUUAAUUUCAACCCACACUUGUUCGAUGCUUAACCAAGAGUCAUUUGGAACGAUGCGGGGUUUUAACUCACGGCGGAUGGCAAGCAGCACUCCACCUCCAGAAGCUUUCGAACUGUUAGACUGACAGCGAUCGCAGCGAAAAACAUCGUAACUCUUAUCAAAUACCUGAGUGGAUGUGGUACGGUCGUUUAACCAAGUUUCGAUGCACGGGCCAAAGGUUGUGCAGUCCACUGAUCAUUCAACAAGAGCCAAAGGUUUUACCGCUCAUGACAACUCUACACGAACUGAUGAUUGCGCCGGCUAGUGACCAUUCUAUCCUGGAUUCCUCGAGUCGAGAAAGACGCACCACGCUAGAUAUGGGGUACAGACUAGGGAGCGUUGCUGAUUAAUGGUCAGCUGCAUCCCAAUAGGAAGUAGCCCGUGUCGGGCACACGUAUAGAGCAUCGAAGACUGCAACAUACCAAUUAUGAGAACACUUGUAAUACUAACCUCGAGCCAACCGCGAGUAAUCGGUUACAUAUUACUAACAUAGUUGUAAGACAAAAAUUGUCAAAAUAUUGGA